CCAGGUUGGGAAACUUGGUCUCAUUGCCGGUGGGUGGAGGGUGCGGUUUCUUUGUCCACCUCGGACGCCUCGGCCCCUGGUGGCCUCUAUUCGCUCGCUACCCCGAACCGCGGGGCUUUGAGCGGCAGUGGGCGUGGUCAGGGAGUUUGACGAGCCGCAGGCAGAGAGCUGCCUGUUUCGAACCCCGGACCCGUGGCGGAGGUGGAGAAACCCAGACAAGUCCAGUAACUUUCCAAAGUCACAGAGCAGCAAACAAGUGGUGGAUCUGGGAUUUGAAUGCAUUUUGAAGGCAGAGCCCCUCAAAACACCUUGCUACAUUGCUCUCCCCAGAUUCGUUUCCCGUAGAGGUCCAUAGAGAAUAUUGAGUGGAGUUCCCUGUGCUAUGCAGUAGGCUGUUGUGCCACUGCACGCGUGCUGAGUUGCUUCAGUCAUGUCCAUCCCUUCGGCCCUGUGGACUGCAGCCCACCAGCCUCCUCUGUCGUUGGGAUCUUCCAAGCAACAAUACUGACUUAAGUAGAUUGCUGUGCUCUCCUCCAGGGGAUCUUCCUGACCCAGGAAUUGAACCUGUGUCUCUUAGGUCUCCUGCAUUGGCCAAUUGCACUUUCUAAAAAUGGCCAAUUGCCUGCGCUUUCUAAGCAGCCCUCAAGUCCUCCGGACAAAAAAAAAAAAUAAAAAAAACUGCUAGGAAGUGAUCUGGGAACAGUUUAACACUGCUUUCUCCACUCUCCUUGGGAUGGAAUAUAUAUCACAUGCUCUUCUUUUAUACUGUCUUGCACAGAAAUACAUAAAUCACAGUAUCUUCCUCAGACCUUUUAAAAUCUACUUUUCCCCCUUCAAUGUUGAAAAGUCAUAAUAAACCUGAAACCUUCUUAGUCCCUUCAUUAUAUUUGUGUCAUAAAGCUCACAGUUGAUGUCAGAAAAGAGACUUCCAUGUAUAAAGAAAGAUGUGGAAAGUAUGUUAAAGUAAGAUGGAUUUAACGAGCAACUUGAAAAUGAGCUGCAAUGUAUUUCUU